rnacentral:rRNA from 1 species
ACGGGGUGCAGCAGGCGCGAAAACUCCACAAUGUACGACAGUACGAUGGGGUUAUCUCGAGUGCAGUCCGAUAAGGGCUGCUUUUCCAUAGAGUAAUAUCCUGUGGGAAUAAGAGGGGGGCAAGACUGGUGUCAGCCGCCGCGGUAACACCAGCCCCUCGAGUGGUGGGGACUAUUAUUUGGCCUAAAGCGUCCGUAGCUGGCUGUAUCCGUCCCCCGUUAAAUCCAGCGUCCUAAGCGUUGGACUGCGGGUGAUACCAUACAGCUAGAGGGUGGGAUAGGUGAGCGGUAUUUCUGGGGUAGGGGCGAAAUCCUUUGAUCCCAGGGGGACCACCAGUGGCGAAGGCUGCUCACUAGAACACGCCUGACGGUCAGGGACGAAAGCUGGGGCAGCGAACCGGAUUAGAUACCCGGGUAGUCCCAGCUGUAAACGAUGCCAGCUAGGUGUUGGGUCGGCCACGCGCCGCCCCAGUGCCGCAGGGAAGCCGUUAAGCUGGCCGCCUGGGGAGUACGGCCGCAAGGCUGAAACUUAAAGGAAUUGGCGGGGGAGCAC